AGUGAACGCUGGCGGUAGGCCUAACACAUGCAAGUCGAACGGCAGCACAGUAAGAGCUUGCUCUUACGGGUGGCGAGUGGCGGACGGGUGAGGAAUACAUCGGAAUCUACUUUUUCGUGGGGGAUAACGUAGGGACACUUACGCUAAUACCGCAUACGACCUACGGGUGAAAGCAGGGGAUCUUCGGCCCUUGCGCGAUUGAAUGAGCCGAUGUCGGAUUAGCUAGUUGGCGGGGUAAAGGCCCACCAAGGCGACGAUCCGUAGCUGGUCUGAGAGGAUGAUCAGCCACACUGGAACUGAGACACGGUCCAGACUCCUACGGGAGGCAGCAGUGGGGAAUAUUGGACAAUGGGCGCAAGCCUGAUCCAGCCAUACCGCGUGGGUGAAGAAGGCCUUCGGGUUGUAAAGCCCUUUUGUUGGGAAAGAAAAGCAGCAGGUUAAUACCCCGCUGUUCUGACGGUACCCAAAGAAUAAGCACCGGCUAACUUCGUG
rnacentral:rRNA from 1 species